rnacentral:tRNA from 1 species
GAGUAGGUGGCUGAUAAUAGGUGAUAGAUUGUAAAUUUAUGUAUGGGAUAUAUCCCUCUACUUA